AUGCAGUCGAACGAAGUAGCAAUACUUAGUGGCAGACGGGUGAGUAACAUGUGGGUAUCUUCCCUUUGGUGAGGAAUAACACGAGGAAACUUGUGCUAAUACCUCAUAAGUCUUUACGGAGAAAGCUUUAUGCGCCAAUGGAUGAGCCUGCACUUGAUUAGUUAGUUGGUAGGGUAAUGGCCUACCAAGACUUUGAUCAAUAGCUGAUUUGAGAGGAUGAUCAGCCACAUUGGGACUGAGACACGGCCCAAACUCCUACGGGAGGCAGCAGUAGGGAAUCUUGCACAAUGGAGGAAACUCUGAUGCAGCGAUGCCGCGUGAGUGAAGAAGGCCCUUGGGUUGUAAAGCUCUUUCGUCGGGGAAGAAAAUGACUGUACCCGAAUAAGAAGGUCCGGCUAACUUCGUGCCAGCAGCCGCGGUAAUACGAAGGGACCUAGCGUAGUUCGGAAUUACUGGGCUUAAAGAGUUCGUAGGUGGUUAAAAAAGUUGGUGGUGAAAUCCCAGAGCUUAACUCUGGAACUGCCAUCAAAACUUUUUAGCUAGAGUAUGAUAGAGGAAAGCAGAAUUUCUAGUGUAGAGGUGAAAUUCGUAGAUAUUUGAAAGAAUACCAAUUGCGAAGGCAGCUUUCUGGAUCAUUACUGACACUGAGGAACGAAAGCAUGGGUAGCGAAGAGGAUUAGAUACCCUCGUAGUCCAUGCUGUAAACGAUGUGUGUUAGACGUUGGAAAUUUAUUUUCAGUGUCGCAGCGAAAGCAAUAAGCACACCGCCUGGGGAGUACGACCCCAAGGUUAAAACUCAAAUGAAUUGACGGGGACCCGCACAAGUAGUGGAGCAUGUGGU
rnacentral:rRNA from 1 species